rnacentral:rRNA from 1 species
GAUGAACGCUCGCGGGAGGCCUAACACAUGCAAGCCGAGCGGUAUUGUUUCUUCGGAAAUGCGAGAGCGGCGUACGGGUGCGUAACACGUGUGCAACCUGCCUUUAUCUGGGGGAUAGCCUUUCGAAAGGAAGAUUAAUACUCCAUAAUAUAUUGAACGGCAUCGUUUAAUAUUGAAAGCUCCGGCGGAUAGAGAUGGGCACGCGCAAGAUUAGCUAGUUGGUGAGGUAACGGCUCACCAAGGCGAUGAUCUUUAGGGGGCCUGAGAGGGUGAUCCCCCACACUGGUACUGAGACACGGACCAGACUCCUACGGGAGGCAGCAGUGAGGAAUAUUGGUCAAUGGGUGCAAGCCUGAACCAGCCAUCCCGCGUGAAGGACGACUGCCCUAUGGGUUGUAAACUUCUUUUGUAUAGGGAUAAACCUACCCUCGAGAGGGUAGCUGAAGGUACUAUACGAAUAAGCACCGGCUAACUCCGUG